GAUGAACGCUGACAGAAUGCUUAACACAUGCAAGUCGAUUCAAGUUACCUUCGGGUAAUGAGGAUGGCGGACGGGUGAGUAACGCGUAAGGAACUUGCCUCUUGGUCUGGGACAACUGUUGGAAACGACAGCUAAUACCGGAUAUUAUGAGAUUCUCGCAUGGGAAACUUAUGAAAGCUAUAUGCGCCAAGAGAGAGCCUUGCGUUCCAUUAGCUAGUUGGUGGGGUAACGGCCCACCAAGGCGACGAUGGAUAGCCGGCCUGAGAGGGUGAACGGCCACAAGGGGACUGAGACACGGCCCUUACUCCUACGGGAGGCAGCAGUGGGGAAUAUUGGACAAUGGACCAAAAGUCUGAUCCAGCAAUUCUGUGUGCACGAUGAAGGUCUUCGGAUUGUAAAGUGCUUUCAGUUGGGAAGAAGCAAGUGACGGUACCAACAGAAGAAGCGACGGCUAAAUACGUGCCAGCAGCCGCGGUAAUACGUAUGUCGCAAGCGUUAUCCGGAUUUAUUGGGCGUAAAGCGCGUCUAGGCGGAAAAAUAAGUCUGAUGUUAAAAUGCGGGGCUCAACUCCGUAUUGCGUUGGAAACUGUUUUUCUAGAGUACUGGAGAGGUGGGCGGAACUACAAGUGUAGAGGUGAAAUUCGUAGAUAUUUGUAGNAAUGCCGAUGGAGAAGUCAGCUCACUNGNCAGAUACUGACGCUGAAGCGCGAAAGCGUGGGGAGCAAACAGGAUUAGANACCCUGGUAGUCCACG
rnacentral:rRNA from 1 species